ensembl:lncRNA
AAAGGGAGAGCGGCAGAGAGGGGGUGGGGGAGAGAGCCAGCCGCGGCGGCGAGCGGUCCGUCUCGCACGCGCGGGCACCGCGCUGGUCCUGGGCUGCAGGUUUCCCAGAUGAUGGCAUCCGAGAACUUAAACAAAGGGGGCCGCCGCCGGCGCGAAGCGGCUGCCGAAAGUUGCGGUGGCGGAUUUCCAAGCAGCGUGGCCACGACCCGAGCUCUUGGCGAGGCGAGCUCCCCCUUCCCACCCCCGCCGAGACAGAGAUGGGGGCCGGCCGGUGAAGGAAAAAGGAAACUUUGAAACCACUGGGGACACAUCUGCCUAUAGACCUAUUGCGAAUGCCCAGAACCGCGGAGGGAACGCCAAGGACUCGGCCGGACUCUAAGAGUUAAGAUGUGGCGGAGGGGGUGGCGGGGGAGGGGCGGGGAGGAGAAAGUGGCGAGGGGGAGGGAGGCUGGGAGGGGGGGACGACAGAUUUCCAGCUUCUACGACGCUCUGCCUAAAUUAAAAAGCAACCAAUCGGAACGGCCGGAAGGGGGGCCGCGCGUCCUGAGCCAGUCAUUUCGGGCCCGCCAAUCACCCAGCGGGUAGCCAAUCAGCGGGGGCCCUGGUGCUCGACUUCCUUGUAUUUGGGAAAGUGUGGUGGUGGGUGCGCGCUCGCGGCGGAGGGUAAACAUUCGACAGUCCCUGCUCUGAGAGGGAGGGACAGAGAGCGAACUGUCAGAUCCGAGCGAGAGCGGGCGGGCGACAGAGAGGGAGGGAGAGGGAAAGUGAGCGAGGGAGAGAGAGCGCGAACGAGGGCGCAGAGCGAGCUCCCACUGCAACUCCGCUCCGGCACGGCCAGUGCCAGCGCCGUCGGUGCACUCUACGAGCCGUGCAACGUGCCCACUGGAGUUGGUUGUGUAUCAAGGAUCCCCUAUAUGCACACAAACACCUCCACCUCCUCCAAUGCACUCUUCUUCCUCCUCCUCCUCCAGACAACUGCUGGGAAAAAAAUAAAACACCAACCCCAACCGUCAGCAACAAGAGGCAACCAAGAGCUCCGGCAAUAGCAACUUCAGAGAAAUGCACCAUCGCAAGAAGUUUUCCUAGGACAGAACAAAACUUGAAACGCGAGGACCGCAGGGGGAGAGCAGGAGCGAGCCUCUCCUCUCCGCACACGCGAGCAGGCAGCAUCACCACGCCUUCAAGGACGAAAAAGUUUUACUACUCUAAGGGAAAACGAGUGAAAUGUGUUCCUGAGGAGGAGAGAAGAGAGCGGGCAAGGGAAGGAGCGGGCCGGCUGCUGGUCGUCCAGAGUUUGGUUGAGGAAGAAAGGAACGGCUUCUUUCUUUGUUGUCUCCCGUGAAACCUUCACUUAGCAGGUGGACGGAGCCCCGCGCCCGGGCAGCGUCGGCGCUCGCCGGAGGACAGGCGGAGGAGCGGGCGCCGGCGCGCCCCGGCACAGAGCCCCGAGCGCAGGCCCGCGCCCCGCCCGGCGAGCCCUGCUGGAGCAAGCCGACCGCGCCGGGGCUGGGGGGCGGCCACGACCCCCCCUGAAGGGGGUGGCCACGGAGCGCGCCCCCAGGAGCGAGGCCCCCUCCCCAGAGCGCUGCUCCUGCUGCUGCUGCUGCUGCUGCUGCUGCUGACCCAGGCCGGCCGGCGACCCCCGCGCCCUGCCGAGCGGCCUUGCAGCUGCAGCCGGGGGCCGCGGCGGCGGCGGCGGCGGC